rnacentral:precursor_RNA from 14 species
AAGCUAGGAGCAGAUGUGUUUAUUUCAAUGCGGUCACUGUCACACCUUAAGGUGUCAAAAUUAAAUUACACCAAGGUGUGUUAGUGAUGACAUUGCAAUAGAACUAAUCAACAAUCAUACUG